AACUUUCAACAACGGAUCUCUUGGUUCUGGCAUCGAUGAAGAACGCAGCGAAAUGCGAUAAGUAAUGUGAAUUGCAGAAUUCAGUGAAUCAUCGAAUCUUUGAACGCACAUUGCGCCCGCCAGUAUUCUGGCGGGCAUGCCUGUCCGAGCGUCAUUUCAACCCUCGAACCCCUCCGGGGGGUCGGCGUUGGGGAUCGGC
rnacentral:rRNA from 1 species